rnacentral:lncRNA from 1 species
UUGUGGAAGCAUAUUCAAACCCGUCGUUCCAUCCAAAACGAGUAAAAUUUCCUGUGCACCAUUAACAAUUUUAGCAAUGGCCUUUUUGCACGCAAUCAGUUCUUCCAUCAAGCUAUAAUUAGUAUGCAGACCUAUAAGACAUAAAAAUAACCAGAAAAACUGUCGGUGUGAGUGAACAUCAAAUGAAGUGAAAAUUCAAGUAAUUUUGUUGACCAACAUCAUGUCUUACGUCCAGAGGUGUCACAUAACACGAUAUCGAAGCCCUGUUCUUUCCCUUUCUUAACGGCCUGUGAUAGAACUACUCAAAAAGAACUUCAAGAUCACAUGUUAGUAAUAGUAGCUGCCGUAAAACUGAUACAAUCUCGCAGCCUGUUCUUUCGGCCCAAAUUUCCAGUUGGUCACUCGCAGCAGCCCUGA